ensembl:lncRNA novel trancript
AGAUCCACCUGCCUGCGGGGUGCGGGGGAGCUCGCUUUCAGCAAACUCUGCAGCAGAGGAAAAUCAGAUCCACCUGCCUGCGGGGUGCGGGGGAGCUCGCUUUCAGCAAACUCUGCAGCAGAGGAAAAUCAGAUCCACCUGCCUGCGGGGUGCGGUGGAGCUCUGUUUUAUGCCUUGAAAUGCAUUUGCGGCAUCCCGUUGUAAAACUGCCCGUGAACGCAGCGUCAGGCGCUCGUUUAAACAGGAAGAGACUGGUUCUAAGCUGGUGCAGCCACCGCCCCUGCGUGCCGGAUGCAGGACUUUCCCUGCCAACACUGGACAGUCCCAGCAAAGCAGACGGUGGGUCGCUCUGUAUCUCUGAAGAACAGCUGGGCCUGCGUGUGUCAUUCUCAGGCAUCUGGCCCAGGCCUUCUCCUCCAGGAAGGUGGGGAGGGGCUGCUCGGCUCCGGGCACUGCCAGGGGCCGUGGGCCCCACAUCCUUUCCAGGCUGUUCCGCAGCAUCUGCCUUCAUACUCACAGCCACCGCGGCGUGCGUCCCAGGGGUUCUCAGAAUAGAAUUCUGUGCCUCUCUCGCCUCUGGAAGUGACCGUGCUCUGUAGGAAAAUAUCACAGCACGCCGGCCUCAAAAGGCCAUGACGUGGCUCCAAACGCUAGAGACUGCUAGCAAUUUGCAAGUUUACGUGAAAAGCUUUGUGAUUUUCCAACACCCUGAGUAGUUCUAGCCAAAAUGCGUGAUUGGCCUCACACUAGACGCUUGCUGUAAUUGUGUCUCUGUAUUAAAUUGACCGUCCUUUGGAGCUUCAGAAUGGACCAGGAGGAAAAGGUAAAUACCAAGCUCGCUACAACCUCAGAGGCAUCAACGCCCUCCUGCUACAGACGCAUCUGUUCUCACCUGGCUCCUGCCAGCUGCCCUGGGAGAGGCCACAAAAUGCCCUCCAUGGACAGAAGACCUGAGAACCUUCGGGGCUCCUGCUGUCACUCACUGUGUUGAAGAACCGCCCGGUCAGCACGCUGGGCCCUAUACACAUACACACACGGCUCUGCGGAGGACGAGGAAGGGCCGUCAGAUGAGACUUCACCGUGAAAAAUGUGCAGAGACACAACAAUCUCGCUGAAUGAAAACUACAGACUCUAAUUUAUAAAAACUGUCUGUUUCAAAAGCCCCAAAUGUUUACAUUCUCCGAUUCAUCAUUCCUUCUUCUAAUUUAUUUUAGGAAAUA